AAAAUACCAAUGUGUACAAGCCUAUCAAGUCCAAAGUGUUGUCAUUUUUGGAUGUUAUCAAAUAGUUCAAUUGGAUUUGCAGAUGAAGUACUUGAAAAGGUCAGUUUCAAUAAGUUGUGUAUUGUUAACAAAGUAUUAUUAUACAAGAAUGAUAUGAAAACUUUCCUUCAAUGGUCCUGACCUUUCCAUUUCAACGAAAUUGCUCAAAGCUGUUUUUACGAGUGGAAAGUUAUUGUUUUGAUGAGAGGAAUCGUUUUCGACAAUUUUCAGAAAGUUUACAGUGGGUUGGGGCACUUUUUGCAUUUUUUCAAAAAAGUUUCCAAUGGUCUUCCCUUUGUUGACGUCAGGGUUGCUGUGGUCCCCCUUUGCAUUUGAGCCAAAUAUUUCAAAACUUUUUUGUGGCACUUUGUGUAUUUUUAAAAAAUGCUGUGAUCCCCCGGCUGUGUGGUGUCCCUCCACUUCGUGAGCCACCAAAAAUUUUUCAAACGCUCUGUGAGUUGAAAAAGUGAUCGUUUUGAUCAGAGAGAUGGUUUUCUUUUUGGGGGCACUUUUAGAAUGUUUGAAAAAUUUCUCGUGGUUCCCACUUUGUUGACCCUAUGGUUGCCUGUGGGUCUCCCCUAAUUUUGCAUUUGAUCAAAAUUUUUAAAAAUACGUUUUUAUCAGUCGAAAGUGAUUGUUUUGAUGAGAGAAAAGCUUUUCAACAGUUUUGAGAAAGUUUGAAGUGGUUUGGGGCAGUUUUUGAUUUUUUAAAAAAAUUUCCUGUGGUCCCCUCGUUGUUCACCCUAGGGUUGCCUCUGUGCUCUCCCCCCCCCCCCCUUAGCAUGAAAAUGUUUUACCCGUAAGGUAAAGUAAUACGAGCAACAAAAUUGCAGCAACUUGCAAUAAAAUAUUAUUUCAACGCAUGUUAAUAGACCUUUCCUAAAACAAACAAAAUGGCGGAAAGGUAUUUUAAACACAAAUGUGAAAUGAACUUGCCGUGAAGGAACCAGAUGAAAAUACGAACAAAAGCACCAAAUUUUGCUUUAAUAAAUGAAAAAUAAAUGAAAAUAGGAACAAAAGCGCCAAAUUUUGGCGAAAGUAUCCAAUUUUGUCAUGCUAAUAAGAAACAAGUAAUCAUGCGAUGUUGCUCGUACAAUUAGAGGGAUUAAUAGUACUCGUGAUGUUUGGAAAUUUGCCAAAUUGGACUCGCCCCGGCGCUCGUCCAAUUUUGGCAAAAUUUCCAAACAUCACUCAAUUAAUCCCUAAUUGUAACCCUAAAUAUUAAUCCCUAAUUGUACUCGCCAUCGCAUGAUUACCUAUAGGCUAUACUCAGGGACGCCGGAACUGGGGGUGGGGGCAGGGAGGGGGAGGCUGCCCCCUUGCAUUUUGGUAGGGGGGCAGAAGUGCCCUUUUAGUUGUAAAAUACUACGUGAUAAAUCACAUUUCCAGUGAUGCUUUUUCUGGGAAAAUCAUUUUCUGGGAAAAUCAUGAGAUUCAGGUAAUUUAUAGGCCCAGAGAAAGUAAAUUAACAAAAAUGAUUGUGAAUUUGGUAAAUGAGUUUAAUUUACAAAAAAUUUAGGAAAUUUUUGGAAUUUAGAAAAAAAUUUUAACUUAACGGAAAAUUUUGGUAUGUCUGGAAAAAAAUUUUGACCCCUAAAAUGGUACACUGACCGAAAUUUUUUGGUGACGGGGGGGGGGAGAGGUGCCCUUGGUGUGCCUCUGCCCGCCUUUGCCUUAUUACCGUUCCGGCGUCCCUGGCUAUACUUAUUGGUCAAAAUCCAAAAUUCUUUUCUAUGCAUGUGUUGAAGAAGGAUGUUCUGCUCCUCUGACCACAGUCCGUGAGAAACAAACUUAAAAUCCAUUCCAUUUAUGGCGGUGCUAAGUUGAAAACAGUGUAAUCUUGACGUAAUUUAUACCGGG
rnacentral:lncRNA from 1 species